UACGUAGGGGGCAAGCGUUGUCCGGAAUCAUUGGGCGUAAAGCGCGUGUAGGCGGCCCGAUAAGUCCGCUGUGAAAGUCCAGGGCUCAACCCUGGGAUGCCGGUGGAUACUGUCGGGCUCGAGUCCGGAAGAGGCGAGUGGAAUUCCUGGUGUAGCGGUGAAAUGCGCAGAUAUCAGGAGGAACACCAAUGGCGGAGGCAGCUCGCUGGGACGUGACUGACGCUGAGACGCGAAAGCGUGGGGAGCAAACAGG
rnacentral:rRNA from 1 species